CAGCAGCCGCGGUAAUACGAAGGGUGCAAGCGUUACUCGGAAUUACUGGGCGUAAAGCGUGCGUAGGUGGUGGUUUAAGUCCGUUGUGAAAGCACUGGGCUCAACCUGGGAAUUGCAGUGGAUACUGGGUCACUAGAGUUUGGUAGAGGAUAGUGGAAUUUCCGGUGUAGCAGUGAAAUGCGUAGAGAUCGGAAGGAACAUCUGUGGCGAAGGCGACUAUCUGGGCCAACACUGACACUGAGGCACGAAAGCGUGGGGAGCAAACAGGAUUAGAUACCCGAGUAGUCCCUGUCUCUUAUAA
rnacentral:rRNA from 1 species